GGUUAAAUUGGUGUAGUUCAUUAAUCAGUGAGGCUAUAAUAGUCGAUUUAUAAUAUGUAAUUAUAUGCGGUAGUCCCAUUCCCCCAUUUCUAUACGCUAAAUACAUGGUGUUUGCAGCUGUUCAGGGUUUCUUAUUGUUCCAAACAAAAGCAUUAAUAGUGUUUUGAGCCUCCUGAAAGAACUGUUUGGGUAAUUUAACUUGGAGCAUAUGAAAUAAG